rnacentral:lncRNA from 10 species
AUCACGACCCUUUCAUGUGAAAUCUUUAGUGUUGUGAGUCCUUAAAAGAGACAGAAAUCGUGCAUUCGGGGAGCUCGGAUUUUAAGACAGUAGCUUGCCGACGUUCCCAGCUGAAUAAAGCCCUUCCUUCCACAACUCAGUGUCUGAGAGGUUUUGUCUGCAGCUCGUCUUGCUACAAUACCACAAUCUACUCUAUCAGCUGUCCAUCAAGAAUUCAAUGACUACUUAUUGGCAGAGAGCUGGGUUUGCAUUCACAUCAACACAACCGUGAGCCAGAGGUUGAAGUGGCCAUGGCCCGUAUCUUGGUGGCAGGCUAGGGUACAUCAAGAGAGAAAAUUUCAAGUCUGUUGACAGCCUUGUUCUCCUGAGCUCGAGUGAUCUUCCCACCUCAGGCUCUCUAGUAGCUAGGACUAAAGCAUCCCAAGAGUUGAUGUUCCAGUCAUGUCAUCUGGGGAGAGAACUCUGAUGAAAUUCCGGAAGUCCGUUGUGCUGUGCGUUCUCUUGUCCCUAAUUCAUCUCUUCAUCAGCCUCUGCCAGUGAGAUCUCUGGAUAACUGUGCCUUAGAGCUACGGUUGCCUGUGGGAAACAGAAAAGGGUUAUCAUUAAAGGAGCAUCUGUUAGAGGGGUGUUCUUGUUCUGUUUUUGUUUUCUCAGCUUCUCUAUUUGGUGUCCAUUCAUCACAAGGCAAAUUAUAUUAACUAUGUGUUCUUAUUUUCUGUAUUCUUUAUGAUCUGGCAUUUGGGAACAUCAGACCCACUAUAGACGCAGGGAGAGACUGCCCCUUCCAGGGUUAGCUAAUUGUUAAAUACAGCAACUUGUGUAAAAGCAUGCCUUUCAUAUGCAAGCCAACCACUCUCUUUAUCUCACCCUCACACACCAAGCCAAUAUUCUUCUGCUCUAAAUCAUCCCAAGCCUAGGUAUCAGACAACUAGGGACAGCCUCUAUCCCCCGAAGCCCACCAGAAUUACUGAAUCUAACCAAUCCUAACCCAUGCACCUUGUCCUGUCCUGCCUUUUCCACAGGAAUCCCAAUACAGACUCCGACUAAGGCUUCCCUUUUACUCUUAUCUUCUGUCUCUGGACCAUCUUGUGUCCCUGUGAGGUCUGACAUGUACCCUUCGUUUGUGAAAUGUAAGCAAUAAGUUCUUCUCUUAAUGGAAUUCGCCUCUUCAUGUUGUCACUCAGUCAUACUUCUAUAAAUUAAAACCUGGGU